CGGACGAGGAACUGCUUAGCUUGCUUUGCAGUUCCUAGUGGCGAACGGGUGAGUAACACGUGAGCAACCUGCCCAGAAGCAGGGGAUAGCCCGCCGAAAGGUGGAUUAAUACCGUAUGUGAUCCCAAGAGGCAUCUCUUGGAGAUUAAAGCCGGGGACCUUCGGGCCUGGCACUUCUGGAUGGGCUCGCGGCCUAUCAGCUAGUUGGUGAGGUAAAGGCUCACCAAGGCGACGACGGGUAGCUGGUCUGAGAGGAUGAUCAGUCACACUGGAACUGAGACACGGUCCAGACAUCUACGGGUGGCAGCAGUCGAGAAUCAUUCGCAAUGGGCGUAAGCCUGACGGUGCGACGCCGCGUGGAGGAUGACAGCUCUAGGGUUGUAAACUCCUGUCAUGAGAGAGUAAAGGCUUGCCGUUAAUAGCGGUCGGGCUCUGAUAGUAUCUCAAGAGGAAGGGACGGCUAACUUCGUGCCAGCAGCCGCGGUAAUACGAAGGUCCCAAGCGUUGUUCGGAAUCACUGGGCGUAAAGCGUGCGUAGGCGGCACGGUAAGUCAGAUGUGAAAGCCCGGGGCUCAACCCCGGAACUGCAUCCGAUACUGCCGAGCUAGAGUAGUGGAGGGGAGUCUGGAAUUCACGGUGUAGCAGUGAAAUGCGUAGAUAUCGUGAGGAACACUAGUGGCGAAGGCGAGACUCUGGACACUAACUGACGCUGAGGCACGAAGGCUAGGGUAGCGAAAGGGAUUAGAUACCCCUGUAGUCCUAGCAGUAAACGGUGCGCGUUUGGUGUGGGCGGGUUCGACCCCGUCCGUGCCGGAGCUAACGCGUUAAACGCGC
rnacentral:rRNA from 1 species